rnacentral:sRNA from 1 species
AGAUGAUUUGUUCACCCUCCCUUUGUAAAAGUUAGCGCACGGCUCAGCAAUGAGCCAUUCCCCUAGGCCCGGAGCUUUUUAAGUUCUGGGCAUUUUUUA